AUAAUCUGAGCACGUGCAUAGUACAUACAUGUCCACCCAUGGCACAAUAAAAAUAACAGCCUUGGGCUGAGCAUGGUGGCUCAUGCCUGUAAUCCCAGCCCUUUGGGAGGCCGAGGCAGGCAGAUCACGAAAUCAAGAGAUCGAGACCAUCCUGGUCAACAUGGUGAAACUCCGUCUCUUCUAAAAAUACAAAAAUUAGCUGGGCGUGCUGUAGCGCGCCUGUAGUCUCAGCUACUCGGGAGGCUGAGGCAGGAGAAUCGCUUAAAUCUGGGAGGCGGAGGUUGCAGUGUGCUGAGAUGGCCCCACUGCACUCCGCACACCAGCCUGUGCGACAGAGCGAGACCUCGUCUCAAAAAAAUAAAAAUAACAGCCUCGGGUUAAGCGCGGUGGCUCACUAGUGUAAUUCCAGCACUUUGGGAGGUCACGGUGGGAGAAUUACUUCAGACCAGGAGUUCAAGACCAGCCUGGGCAACAUAGCAAUACCUCAUCUUUACAAAAAAUUUAAAAAUUAGUCGGGCAUGGUGGCAUGUGUCUGUAGACCCAGCUACUCAAGAGGCUGAGGUGGAAGGAUCGCUUGAGCCCAGGAGACUGAGGCUGCAUUGCAGUGAGCUGUGAUCGUACUGCUACACUUCGCCGGGCAACAGAGUGAGAUCCUGUCUCAAAAAAAUAUUAACAGCCUCGGGCCAUGCCUAUGUCAAGACUGUUGUGUGCAGGGAAACCAUCCUGCCACCUCCCUUCGGUCUUGGGAGAGCUUAAUCCUGAAAGGGUUGUGGAAGGACAAGGUGGCUUGGGGACUGGUAAUGAUCUCUUCCCAGGCUUCAUCACUGUUCUUUUAAAUAAUUAAUUCAUCUUCUUCCUUGGUGUUUACAUCCUUCAAAUAUUUGUAGAUGGUUAUCAUGUCCCUUUAGUCACCACUUAGCACCACUCUGCAUAUUUGCUGUCAUGUUGAGUGUGUGUUAUCAUCAUUGUCAUUAUUAUUAUUAUUUCCUCCCAGCUCCCUCCCUCAGUCCCUCAGCCACCAUCAUCACUCAGUGAAUUUCCUCCAGGUUCCCAACCUUUCAAGUACCAGGUUACCCAAGAUGGGACAUUAAAAGUCAGUAGUGAUGACAAGCCCUACUUGUCACAGAGGGCUUGCAGGCCCUCUGGUUCCUCACUAAUUCUCAUCAGUUUCCCCAAAGCCACAGCAAAAAAAAAAAAAAAAAGACAAACUAAGUAAAAACAGCAUGCUUACACUGCAAACACAGCUUCCAGACAAAUCCCCCAGCCCCUGCUCCCAAACAGAUAAUCCUCAAUUUUCUCAAAUACAAAAUCAGGAUGAGAAUCCCUGCUCUCAACAACCUGGGAUUAUUGUGAGGAUUCAAAGAGGAAUAAAAACUGAAAGGUGCUUUGUAAACUAUAAAACAGGGAGGGUGGUACUAUCAGCAAUGCCUUCCACAUAGGAUGGGAUUUCUACAAAAUGUUCCAGAGGUCAACUGUUCUAAAAAGCUAAAAAUUCUAAGUUAGAAUUUACAAAUGAACUCGAUAGAGCCAAGAUUCACCCGAAAAUCUGUCUAUUGAAAGAAUAUAAAGAGAUGCCCUACUUAAAAAUCUACUCAUAGAUGUUAGUAUUCCAAAUAAAGUGUGGAACUCAGAGCUGGAGGCUGAUGGGGCCUUGGAGUUUACAGAUGGCCCUGACGAGACUUUAGAAGGUCAAGCUGCUAUAAAAGACUUAAAAAAAAUCCACCUUGUCUUGCAUUUCAGAUCUCACUGAAGAGUUCUUCUGUGCCUGGAAGACUUAUUUUCAGUCUGAGAAGAAUGAUUUUUCAAUGGUUCUGUUGAACAUGCAAUUCUCACUGAAAGCACCAGAUUUCCGCGUAGGAGGGACUCGGGGGCAACGAUGCAAUUGGAAGUUCCAGGAACAAAGUCACUCACUGUCCUGUGGGUAGUCUCCGAGUCUCUGCGAGGACCCACUGCACGGCAGGAGCUAGUCUCAGACUGAGGGUGUGACCUGGAUGGAGUGGUAC
rnacentral:lncRNA from 1 species